GACGAACGCUGGCGGCGUGCCUAAUACAUGCAAGUAGAACGCAGUCGCGAACGGGUGAGUAACGCGUAGGUAACUGCCUCAUAGCGGGGGAUAACUAUUGGAAACGAUAGCUAAUACCGCAUACUGUGAGAUGGACCUGCGUUGUAUGAGCUAGUUGGUGAGGUAAAGGCGCACCAAGGCGACGAUACAUAGCCGACCUGAGAGGGUGAACGGCUACACGGGGACUGGGACACGGCCCCGACUCCUACGGGAGGCAGCAGUAGGGGAUCUUCGGCAAUGGACGGAAGUCUGACCGAGCAACGCAGCGUGAGUGAAGAAGGUUUUCGGGUCGUGAAGCUCUGUUGUUGGAGAAGCGGUAACUAGCCAGGAAGGGACGGCUGACUACGUGCCAGCGGCCGCGGUAAUUC
rnacentral:rRNA from 1 species